rnacentral:rRNA from 1 species
UAGGGAAUCUUCGGCAAUGGACGAAAGUCCGACCGAGCAACGCCGCGUGAGUGAAGAAGGUUUUCGGAUCGUAAAACUCUGUUGUUAGAGAAGAACAAGGACGUUAGUAACUGAACGUCCCCUGACGGUAUCUAACCAGAAAGCCACGGCUAACUACGUGCCAGCAGCCGCGGUAAUACGUAGGUGGCAAGCGUUGUCCGGAUUUAUUGGGCGUAAAGCGAGCGCAGGCGGUUUCUUAAGUCUGAUGUGAAAGCCCCCGGCUCAACCGGGGAGGGUCAUUGGAAACUGGGAGACUUGAGUGCAGAAGAGGAGGGUGGAAUUCCAGGUGUAGCGGUGAAAUGCGUAGAUAUAUGGAGGAACACCAGUGGCGAAGGCGGCUCUCUGGUCUGUAACUGACGCUGAGGCUCGAAAGCGUGGGGAGCAAACAGG